rnacentral:tRNA from 1 species
GGGCCUGUAGCUCAUUUGGUAGAGCGCACGAUUCGCAUUCGUGAGGUGAGGGGUUCGAAUCCCCUCAGGUCCACCA